rnacentral:rRNA from 1 species
AGUGAGCGCUGGCGGUAGGCCUAACACAUGCAAGUCGAACGGCAGCACAGUAAGAGCUUGCUCUUACGGGUGGCGAGUGGCGGACGGGUAAGGAAUACAUCGGAAUCUACUUUUUCGUGGGGGAUAACGUAGGGAAACUUACGCUAAUACCGCAUACGACCUACGGGUGAAAGCAGGGGAUCUUCGGACCUUGCGCGAUUGAAUGAGCCGAUGUCGGAUUAGCUAGUUGGCGGGGUAAAGGCCCACCAAGGCGACGAUCCGUAGCUGGUCUGAGAGGAUGAUCAGCCACACUGGAACUGAGACACGGUCCAGACUCCUACGGGAGGCAGCAGUGGGGAAUAUUGGACAAUGGGCGCAAGCCUGAUCCAGCCAUACCGCGUGGGUGAAGAAGGCCUUCGGGUUGUAAAGCCCUUUUGUUGGGAAAGAAAAGCAGCAGGUUAAUACCCCGCUGUUCUGACGGUACCCAAAGAAUAAGCACCGGCUAACUUCGUG